UUGGUUCAUGCGUUUAGUUCAUUACGCGCCUCAAGUUCUUUAAAUUGUGUUUAAUUUAUUUAAUAUUUAAAUAAUUGUACAUUGUUUGAUUAUGGAGUGUUUAAUUUAUGGAGAAACUGUAAGCGACAGUGACAAACUGGUAGUUCAAAAUCCUACAAUCCAGGUCUUAAAAACAUUAAUAAGCGCUGCAGAAAAAAGACAAGACAAUUGUGCAAAGAAUAUAUUAGGCGAAAAGGAUGAUAUUUUAACAAAGAAAAAACUUGUUAAGUAUCAUCUACUUUGUAGAAAAAUCUUUCACUAGCCUACAAAAUCUUGAGCAUUCGUCCCAAAUUGUCGAAAAUGAAGGCAACGAAGCUAAUAAUUUGGGAGAAGAAGUUUGUAAAAAAUUAUUAAGUAUUCAUUGUUUAACUGGAUGUGAUACUACUUGUGCACUAUUUAAAAUAGGUAAAAAAUCAGCAUUCGACAUUUUAUACAAAAACAUCGAUAAAUUAAAGGGGCUCGAAAAUCUGCCAUUUUUGCUUGAAGAUGAAGCAAUAAAUUUGGGCCAAAUGUAUUUAUUGUAUCUAUAUAAAAAUAAAAACACAUCUAUUAAAACUUUUAAUGAACUAAGUAAGGGUGCAUUUAACAAAAGAGUCAAAUCGAUCAGCCUCAGAAUUGCCUCCUACAAAUGAUGCGUUUAAGCAACAUUUAAAAAGAUGUAUAUACCAAUUAAAAAUAUGGUAUAAUUCUCAUGUCAAAAAAAUAAUUUUGGAAGAUCCUCGUGAAUAUGGUUGGAAAAAUGAUGAAACUUACUGGAGACCAAUAUCAGCAAUACAAGAUCCGAUCCCCAAUGAAGUAAGAAAAGCAUUGUCAAUUCGGUGUGUCCGACAAAAAUUGCAACAAUAAUAGGUGCACGUGUUUAGCUCAAGGAUUAAAAUGUUGUGACGAAUGUAAAUAUGCAAUUUGUAGUAACAGACCACAAGAUGAAGAACUAAACUCGUCAGAUUCAGAGUCUGAAGAAAUCUCAAUCUUUUCAAUUUAUGUUCUUUUUUUGUUUUUGCAAUUCCUGUUUUAACUUAAUAUUAAAAAUAUAAGGGUAA